rnacentral:rRNA from 1 species
UGGUGGAGUGAUUUGUCUUGGUUAAUUCCGUUAACGAACGAGACCUCAGCCUGCUAAAUAGAUCGACGAACCUAUGGUUCGGACGUAUCUUCUUAGAGGGACUCUUGGUGCGAACCAAGGGAAGUUUGAGGCAAUAACA